rnacentral:sRNA from 1 species
UGUCUAAUUAAAUGUAUUUUCUUUUUACAGAUUGACGAUAUUACCAUUGAAUCUUCUUCAAGUUUGGAAAUUUUAAGAAGAGUUGCAGCGUUGGAGGCUGAAAAUAAGGAAAUUCGAAAUAUUGUUUCAAAUUUUGCUCAACUGUAUAAUGAUAUGCUGAAACGUAUUUCAAUUAUCGAAAAUAACAGAAUUUUAAAUUAAAAUAUAUUAGUGGCUUGAUACGAAUAAUCAUGAAAAAAUUGACGAUAUUACCAUUGAAUCUUCUUCAAGUUUGGAAAUUUUAAGAAGAGUUGCAGCGUUGGAGGCUGAAAAUAAGGAAAUUCGAAAUAUUGUUUCAAAUUUUGCUCAACUGUAUAAUGAUAUGCUGAAACGUAUUUCAAUUAUCGAAAAUAACAGAAUUUUAAAUUAAAAUAUAUUAGUGGCUUGAUACGAAUAAUCAUGAAAAAGUAAUAAUAAGCGAAAACCAAAUAUUUACAAAAUUGUAUGAAUUAUUGUCAACUCCAUUAUAUACUUGAUUUGUAUUUAUGAGACAAGAGCAAGAAUAUGACGCUAAUAACUGAUAUGUAUAACCUGAUGAGAUAAUAAAAAAAAAAGUAUUUGGAA